GACAGAGGGGGCAAGCGUUGCUCGGAAUUACUGGGCGUAAAGGGCGCGUAGGCGGGAUGGCAAGUCGGUCGUGAAAUACCUCGGCUCAACUGAGGAGCGUCGAUCGAAACUGCUGUUCUUGAGGGUUGCAGAGGAGACUGGAAUUCCCGGUGUAGCGGUGAAAUGUGUAGAGAUCGGGAGGAACACCGGUGGCGAAGGCGGGUCUCUGGGCAAUUCCUGACGCUGAGGCGCGAAAGCGUGGGGAGCAAACGGG
rnacentral:rRNA from 1 species